rnacentral:rRNA from 1 species
UGCAGUCGAGCGCAGGAGCUGACUGACCCCUUCGGGGUGACGAUCAGUGGAAUGAGCGGCGGACGGGUGAGUAACACGUGGGCAACCUACCUAUAAGACUGGGAUAACUCGUGGAAACAUGGGCUAAUACCGGAUAACCAGUGUGUUCGCAUGAACACACUUUAAAAGGCGGCUUUNGCUGUCACUUAUANAUGGGCCCGCGGCGCAUUANCUANUUGGUGAGGUAACGGCUCACCAAGGCCACGAUGCNUANCCNACCUGANAGGGUGAUCGGCCACACUGGGACUGAAACACGGCCCANACUCCUACGGGAGGCAGCAGUAGGGAAUCUUCCGCAAUGGACGAAAGUCUGACGGAACAACNCCNCGUGAACGAUGAAGGUUUUCGGAUCNUAAAGUUCUGUUGUUAGGGAAGAACAAGUACCGUUCNAAUAGGGCGGUACCUUGACGGUACCUGACGAAAAAGCCCCGGCUAACUACUG